rnacentral:rRNA from 1 species
UACGUAGGGGGCGAGCGUUGUCCGAAUUUACUGGGCGUAAAGCGUGCGCAGGCGGCGCGUUAAGACAGGUGUGAAAGCCCCGAGCUUAACUUGGGAAUUGCGCUUGUGACUGGCGUGCUGGAGUGUGGCAGAGGGAGGUGGAAUUCCACGUGUAGCAGUGAAAUGCGUAGAGAUGUGGAGGAACACCGAUGGCGAAGGCAGCCUCCUGGGCCAGCACUGACGCUCAUGCACGAAAGCGUGGGGAGCAAACAGG